AUUCCAGCUCCAAUAGCGUAUAUUAAAGUUGUUGCGGUAAAAAAGCUCGUAGUUGGAUUUCUGUCGAGAACAGCCGGUCACGAUUUUGACGUUGUAUCUGGUUUGGUCUUGGCAUCCUCUUGGGGAACAUUUCUGCGCUUCACUGCGUGGAGUGGUAUUCAAGACUUUUACUUUGAGGAAAUUAGAGUGUUCACGGCAGGCAAUCGCCCUGAAUAUAUUAGCAUGGAAUAAUGAUAUAGGACCUUGGUUCUAUUUUGUUGGUUUCUAGAACUAAGGUAAUGACUAAUAGGGACAAUUGGGGGCAUUCGUAUUAACGCGUCAGAGGUGGAAUUCUUAGAUUGCGUUACGACGAACUACUGCGAAAGCAUUUGCCAAGGAUGUUUUCAUCA
rnacentral:rRNA from 1 species